rnacentral:rRNA from 1 species
GAUGAACGCUGGCGGCGUGCCUAAUACAUGCAAGUCGAGCGAACGGACGAGAAGCUUGCUUCUCUGAUGUUAGCGGCGGACGGGUGAGUAACACGUGGAUAACCUACCUAUAAGACUGGGAUAACUUCGGGAAACCGGAGCUAAUACCGGAUAAUAUUUUGAACCGCAUGGUUCAAAAGUGAAAGACGGUCUUGCUGUCACUUAUAGAUGGAUCCGCGCUGCAUUAGCUAGUUGGUAAGGUAACGGCUUACCAAGGCAACGAUGCAUAGCCGACCUGAGAGGGUGAUCGGCCACACUGGAACUGAGACACGGUCCAGACUCCUACGGGAGGCAGCAGUAGGGAAUCUUCCGCAAUGGGCGAAAGCCUGACGGAGCAACGCCGCGUGGGUGAUGAAGGUCUUCGGAUCGUAAAACUCUGUUAUUAGGGAAGAACAUAUGUGUAAGUAACUGUGCACAUCUUGACGGUACCUAAUCAGAAAGCCACGGCUAACUACGUGCCAGCAGCCGCGGUAAUACGUAGGUGACAAGCGUUAUCCGGAAUUAUUGGGCGUAAAGCGCGCGUAGGCGGUUUUUUAAGUCUGAUGUGAAAGCCCACGGCCCAACCGUGGAGGGUCAUUGGAAACUGGAAAACUUGAGUGCAGAAGAGGAAAGUGGAAUUCCAUGUGUAGCGGUGAAAUGCGCAGAGAUAUGGAGGAACACCAGUGGCGAAGGCGACUUUCUGGUCUGUAACUGACGCUGAUGUGCGAAAGCGUGGGGAUCAAACAGGAUUAGAUACCCUGGUAGUCCACGCCGUAAACGAUGAGUGCUAAGUGUUAGGGGGUUUCCGCCCCUUAGUGCUGCAGCUAACGCAUUAAGCACUCCGCCUGGGGAGUACGACCGCAAGGUUGAAACUCAAAGGAAUUGACGGGGACCCGCACAAGCGGUGGAGCAUGUGGUUUAAUUCGAAGCAACGCGAAGAACCUUACCAAAUCUUGACAUCCUUUGACAACUCUAGAGAUAGAGCCUUCCCCUUCGGGGGACAAAGUGACAGGUGGUGCAUGGUUGUCGUCAGCUCGUGUCGUGAGAUGUUGGGUUAAGUCCCGCAACGAGCGCAACCCUUAAGCUUAGUUGCCAUCAUUAAGUUGGGCACUCUAAGUUGACUGCCGGUGACAAACCGGAGGAAGGUGGGGAUGACGUCAAAUCAUCAUGCCCCUUAUGAUUUGGGCUACACACGUGCUACAAUGGACAAUACAAAGGGCAGCGAAACCGCGAGGUCAAGCAAAUCCCAUAAAGUUGUUCUCAGUUCGGAUUGUAGUCUGCAACUCGACUACAUGAAGCUGGAAUCGCUAGUAAUCGUAGAUCAGCAUGCUACGGUGAAUACGUUCCCGGGUCU